AGUAGUGCGGAGAACAUUCCUUGCCACAAGUAGCUUACCAUCUAGCUAGAGAUGAUGGUUUACCAUCUAGAAAAUAAUACCACAAUUACAGUAAUACUACAACUCAUGACUCAUAUUGUGUACCUUCUUUACAAAACCUCAACUAACAAGAAUAUAAGGUCAUUAUAAUUGUAUAUAAUAUCAGCACCAGAAAACAGAGGUUCUCCACCAGCCAGCACUUCAUCAUCCAUACAUGAACCAUUGGUUGCAGUGAAUGGAGAAAUUUUGAAUACUAUGGAUAAGUUCACUCACCUUGGCAGUAUAAAUUCCAGGGAUGGCCACAUAGACAAUAAGGAAAGAAAGACACAGUUGGGUUAUCAGUAAAAUUAUUAGCUCCCAAAUAGCCUGCCUGUCUAUCUCCCCAACACAAGAAGAGAAACAGAUCAAUUUUGCUUAUGGAUUUCUUCUGCUCUUCUGGGAUUUACAAGGCUGUGACCGAAGAGUAUAUGUUCUGACGGGUCAUCUACCAAGAUGAGAAAUAUUUGAGUAUGGACUUGGUAUCAAGCUGAAUGUCCACUGUCUGAAGGCAAAACUAACAAAAUUUGGAAAGACUCAUCAUUGUGCUGGUCUCAGGACCAUCCGUUCUUCAAUGCUCAAAGACUAUCUACUAAGUAAGAGAGGUGUUGUGAUCUGUGUCAAUUGAGGUUAUACUCACAACAAUGACAUUACAGAUUUCUAAAGUUUGCAUGUCGUCUCCCCAAUUAAGUUGUAAGCUCCUUGAGGGCAGGUGAAGAAUGAACCUCCUUUAUGACCUCCCAGUCCACCACCAUCCUAGAAGUGUCAUGAGGGAGAUUAGCUGAUUAGAAAUUCAUAGGAUAGAUUGUAGACUGGUGACAUGGAGACAAGUUAGGAUGCUAUUGCAGUAGUCCAGUGAGAGGUGACUAAGCCUUGAACUAUGAUAGUGCCAGUGGGACCAGGAAGAGAUGGAUAUGAGAUGAAUGUAGUGGUAAAAUUGAAGCAGUCGGACAUAUACAGACAAACACAUGAAGAAAUUCAAAGAGAAGUAUGACGUAGAGACAGUAGGCUAGGUGGAUACCUAGAGAGAGACCUGUGUAUCCACAAGGCCUACACAGAGAACUGGGUGCGCCAAGGAACUGGCCCCAUACAGAAAUAAAGAAGAAGGGACAGAGGUUCAAUGAGAGAGAGGAAAUGAAUUUGGAGCUUCUAGGAGACAGAGAUGCCUAGUCUUAAUGGAACCUAGAGAGAAGUCAGUAGGCCACAUCCUCUUCAUGGUACCAAAGAGGACAAAUGGAAUAAAGGCCAUCAGGGAACCAUGUGUAUUAGAACUAAUUCUUCUCUGAGUAGUAUGAACCAUGCAGAUGCAGAGGGAAGGAAAAUCCCACUAGAUAGGAAUGUCACUUGAUGCCCCCUGGAAUGAAGAACAGAACUUUCUUGACUUGGCAAGGAGCUUGGUAAAAAAGUCGUUUUGCAUUUUGGGUAUUGUCCAUUUUUUGACCGUCUAAAUAAGACUUAUCCUCUGGCCUAUAACUCGUUAGCCUGGAUGUUUGCCAAGUAAAUGAGAGGUUUUAAAAGA